UAGUGGAUGAUCCUAUGCUGCCGAGAAAAGCCUCUAGUGAGUGUUGUGGCGGCCCGUACCCUAAACCGACUCAGGUGGUCAGGUAGAGAAUACCAAGGCGAUCGGGUGAACUGUGGUUAAGGAACUCGGCAAAUUGCCCCCGUAACUUCGGGAGAAGGGGGACCUCUGCUGGUGAUGGGCUUUACGUUCUGAGCUGGUGGGGGUCGCAGUGGCCAGGGGGAAGCGACUGUUUACUAAAAACACAGGUCCGUGCGAAGUCGUAAGACGAUGUAUACGGACUGACGCCUGCCCGGUGCCGGAACGUUAAGGGGACCGCUUAGCCAACGCGAGUUGGCGAAGGUGAGAACUUAAGCGCCGGUAAACGGCGGUGGUAACUAUAACCAUCCUAAGGUAGCGAAAUUCCUUGUCGGGUAAGUUCCGACCUGCACGAAUGGCGUAACGACUUCCCCGCUGUCUCAACCACAGACCCGGCGAAAUUGCACUACGAGUAAAGAUGCUCGUUUCGCGCAGCAGGACGGAAAGACCCCGGGACCUUCACUACAGCUUGACAUUGGCGUUUGGAACGUCUUGUGUAGGAUAGGUGGGAGACUGGGAAGCUGUCACGCUAGUGAUGGUGGAGUCAUUGGUGAAAUACCACUCUGGUCGUUUUGAACGUCUAACUCUGGUCCGUGAUCCGGAUCGGGGACAGUGUCUGGUGGGUAGUUUAACUGGGGCGGUUGCCUCCUAAAGAGUAACGGAGGCGCCCAAAGGUUCCCUCAGCCUGGUUGGCAAUCAGGUGUUGAGUGUAAGUGCACAAGGGAGCUUGACUGUGAGACUGACAGGUCGAGCAGGAGCGAAAGCUGGGACUAGUGAUCCGGCAUCGGCGUGUGGAAGCGGUGUCGCUCAACGGCUAAAAGGUACCCCGGGGAUAACAGGCUGAUCUUCCCCAAGAGUCCAUAUCGACGGGAUGGUUUGGCACCUCGAUGUCGGCUCGUCGCAUCCUGGGGCUGGAGUAGUCCCAAGGGUUGGGCUGUUCGCCCAUUAAAGCGGUACGCGAGCUGGGUUUAGAACGUCGCGAGACAGUUCGGUCCCUAUCCGCUGCGCGCGCAGGAGACUUGAAGGGGGCUGUCCCUAGUACGAGAGGACCGGGACGGACGAACCUCUGGUGUGCCAGUUGUACCGCCAGGUGCACGGCUGGUUGGCUACGUUCGGAAGGGAUAACCGCUGAAAGCAUCUAAGCGGGAAGCUCGCCUUGAGAUGAGGUCUCCCACCCUGUGAGGGGGUAAGGCUCCCGGUAGAUCACCGGGUUGAUAGGCCGGAGGUGGAAGCACGGUAACGUGUGGAGCUGACCGGUACUAAUAGGCCGAGGACUUGACC
rnacentral:rRNA from 1 species